GUAGUAAUAAUAAAUUAAUAAUAACAAUAAUGGGAGAAAAAUAAUAAUAAUUAUUAUCAUAGAUAUGGGAAUAUGGGAUCAUGGGAGGGGAGGGACAGGGGAGGGAGGAAGUGUACGUUGCGCAUUAGAGAAAGGACGAACCGUAACCAUUGGGCAAUGCACAAAGAAGACUCUCUCUCUUUCUCUCUCUUUCCAUGAGUGACUCACAGUGAUGGGAUGGGAUGGGACGUGACAUUUACCCUCUUUUCCCAUUCGUCUUUUUCAGUGUGUACGGUACACGCUACCUCC
rnacentral:lncRNA from 1 species